rnacentral:rRNA from 1 species
UAGGGAAUCUUCGGCAAUGGACGAAAGUCUGACCGAGCAACGCCGCGUGAGUGAAGAAGGUUUUCGGAUCGUAAAACUCUGUUGUUAGAGAAGAACAAGGACGUUAGUAACUGAACGUCCCCUGACGGUAUCUAACCAGAAAGCCACGGCUAACUACGUGCCAGCAGCCGCGGUAAUACGUAGGUGGCAAGCGUUGUCCGGAUUUAUUGGGCGUAAAGCGAGCGCAGGCGGUUUCUUAAGUCUGAUGUGAAAGCCCCCGGCUACACCGGGGAGGGUCAUUGGAAACUGGGGGACUUGAGUGCAGAAGAGGAGAGUGGAAUUCCAUGUGUAGCGGUGAAAUGCGUAGAUAUAUGGAGGAACACCAGUGGCGAAGGCGGCUCUCUGGUCUGUAACUGACGCUGAGGCUCGAAAGCGUGGGGAGCAAACAGG